rnacentral:rRNA from 2 species
AGUGAGCGGGAUGAGCUUCAAAUUUAAAAUCUGGCUGGUUUACUAGUCCGAAUUGUAGUUUAUAGAAGCGUUUUCGGUGGCAGCCUGGGUAUAAAUCCUUUGGAAUAGGGUAUCAUAGAGGGUGAGAAUCCCGUCUUUGACUCAGUGCAUGCUACUAUGUGAUACGUUUUCAAAGAGUCGAGUUGUUUGGGAAUGCAGCUCAAAAUGGGUGGUAAAUUUCAUCUAAAGCUAAAUAUUGGCGAGAGACCGAUAGCGAACAAGUACCGUGAGGGAAAGAUGAAAAGAACUUUGAAAAGAGAGUUAAACAGUGCGUGAAAUUGUUGAAAGGGAAACGUUUGACACCAGUUAUGCGGGUGGAAAAUCAGUCUUUUGCAAUGGGGAGUUGUGGGCGUUCAGACCGCAAGGCUGGCGUUUGCUUCAUCUUUGUUGUAAGUGAUGCACUUUUUCAUUUGCAGGUCAACAUCAGUUUGCUUUGCUGGACAAAACCCCAAGGGAAGGUGGCAGCUUAGGCUGUGUUAUAGCCCUGGGGCGAUACAGUGGAGUGGACUGAGGUUUCGCAGUGUGUGCUCUCGGGCAAGGCUGACUGGGUGCUAUGGGAUCGUUCGGCGUACAAUGCAUGCAUUUUGCGUCGUGUCUUUUUUAUACUCGCUCAACUCGGCUCUUCCACACUUAGGAUGUUGACUUAAUGGUUUUAAACGACCCGUCU